rnacentral:rRNA from 1 species
AUACGGAGGGUGCAAGCGUUACUCGGAAUCACUGGGCGUAAAGCGCGCGCAGGCGGUCUUUUAAGUUGGAUGUGAAAGCCUACGGCUCAACCGUAGAACUGCAUCCAAAACUAUUAGACUAGAGUGUGGGAGAGGAAGAUGGAAUUAGUUGUGUAGGGGUAAAAUCCGUAGAGAUAACUAGGAAUACCAAAAGCGAAGGCAAUCUUCUGGAACACUACUGACGCUGAGGCGCGAAAGCGUGGGGAGCAAACAGGAGUAGAAACCCCGGUAGUCC